rnacentral:tRNA from 1 species
GAGCCAGUAGCUCAGUUGGCAGAGCAACGGACUCUUAAUCCGUGUGUCCAGGGUUCGACCCCCUGCUGGCUCA